rnacentral:rRNA from 1 species
GGGUUGUGAGGUUAAGCGACUAAGCGUACACGGUGGAUGCCCUGGCAGUCAGAGGCGAUGAAGGACGUGCUAAUCUGCGAUAAGCGCCGGUAAGGUGAUAUGAACCGUUAUAACCGGCGAUUUCCGAAUGGGGAAACCCAGUGUGACUCGUCACACUAUCAUUAACUGAAUCCAUAGGUUAAUGAGGCGAACCGGGGGAACUGAAACAUCUAAGUACCCCGAGGAAAAGAAAUCAACCGAGAUUCCCCCAGUAGCGGCGAGCGAACGGGGAGGAGCCCAGAGCCUGAAUCAGCAUGUGUGUUAGUGGAAGCGUCUGGAAAGGCGCGCGAUACAGGGUGACAGCCCCGUACACAAAAGCGCAUGUGCUGUGAGCUCGAUGAGUAGGGCGGGACACGUGGUAUCCUGUCUGAAUAUGGGGGGACCAUCCUCCAAGGCUAAAUACUCCUGACUGACCGAUAGUGAACCAGUACCGUGAGGGAAAGGCGAAAAGAACCCCGGCGAGGGGAGUGAAAAAGAACCUGAAACCGUGUACGUACAAGCAGUGGGAGCACCCUUUGGGGUGUGACUGCGUACCUUUUGUAUAAUGGGUCAGCGACUUAUAUUCUGUAGCAAGGUUAACCGCAUAGGGGAGCCGGAGGGAAACCGAGUCUUAAUUGGGCGUUAAGUUGCAGGGUAUAGACCCGAAACCCGGUGAUCUAGCCAUGGGCAGGUUGAAGGUUGGGUAACACUAACUGGAGGACCGAACCGACUAAUGUUGAAAAAUUAGCGGAUGACCUGUGGCUGGGGGUGAAAGGCCAAUCAAACCGGGAGAUAGCUGGUUCUCCCCGAAAGCUAUUUAGGUAGCGCCUCGUGAAUUCAUCUCCGGGGGUAGAGCACUGUUUCGGCUAGGGGGCCAUCCCGGCUUACCAACCCGAUGCAAACUGCGAAUACCGGAGAAUGUUAUCACGGGAGACACACGGCGGGUGCUAACGUCCGUCGUGAAGAGGGAAACAACCCAGACCGCCAGCUAAGGUCCCAAAGUCAUGGUUAAGUGGGAAACGAUGUGGGAAGGCCCAGACAGCCAGGAUGUUGGCUUAGAAGCAGCCAUCAUUUAAAGAAAGCGUAAUAGCUCACUGGUCGAGUCGGCCUGCGCGGAAGAUGUAACGGGGCUAAACCAUGCACCGAAGCUGCGGCAGCGACACUCAGGUGUUGUUGGGUAGGGGAGCGUUCUGUAAGCCUGCGAAGGUGUGUCGUGAGGCAUGCUGGAGGUAUCAGAAGUGCGAAUGCUGACAUAAGUAACGAUAAAGCGGGUGAAAAGCCCGCUCGCCGGAAGACCAAGGGUUCCUGUCCAACGUUAAUCGGGGCAGGGUGAGUCGACCCCUAAGGCGAGGCCGAAAGGCGUAGUCGAUGGGAAACGGGUUAAUAUUCCCGUACUUGGUGUUACUGCGAAGGGGGGACGGAGAAGGCUAUGUUGGCCGGGCGACGGUUGUCCCGGUUUAAGCGUGUAGGUGUGUGUUCCAGGUAAAUCCGGUUCACUUUAACACUGAGGCGUGAUGACGAGGCACUACGGUGCUGAAGCAACAAAUGCCCUGCUUCCAGGAAAAGCCUCUAAGCAUCAGGUAACAUCAAAUCGUACC